AUGAAAAGGCCGUGAAGGAGACAGCUAAGGAAUUGGAGAGUAUUGCUAGUGAAUGGUUGAAGGAGCAUAAGCAGAAGAGGGCCUCGGGUGGGGCCAAAGAUCAAGACUUCAUGGAUGUUUUGCUUUCUCUCCUCGAGGGUACAAACCUUGCAGCAGAAUUCGAUGUUGACACAAUUAACAAAGCCAACUGUUUGGUAUGCACUUUUCUUUCUUUCUUUUUUGUGUAAGAGCAUUCGGCCCCAAUACAUAGACCCAAAUUAAUUGCAACCUAUAAUCCUUUCCAUUCCCUACACAUACUCUCAAGAAAAAACGUUUGCUUUUUGCAGAGUAUGAUUACAGGAGGAAGUGACACCCCUAAGGUUACUCUAACAUGGAUACUCUCCUUAUUGUUGAACAAUCUUCAUUGGUUGAGAAAAGUUCAGGAAGAGCUAGACAUUCACGUGGGCAAAGAAAGACUAGUGAACGAAUCAGAUCUUAGCAAGUUAGAGUGCCUUCAAGCCGUAGUCAAAGGACAUUACGCCUACAUCCUCCAGUACUUCUCUUCCCACGGUUCUGCACUGAUGAAAUCAUCGUAAGUGGUUAUCAUGUCCCUCGAGACAGCUGGAUAUUCUUAAACCUUUGGAAGAUCCAAACUGAUCCACGGGUCUGGUCGGAUCCUUUAGAAUUCAUGCCAGAAAGAUUCCUGACAACCAAUAAAGAUUUCGAUGUUGGGGGUGAUCAAUACUUUGAGUUGAUCCCAUUUGGUUUUGGUAGAAGGGUUUGCCCUGGAAUGUCUUUUGGCCUUCAGAUGGUACACGUGACGUUGGCUAGCUUGUUGCAGGCGUUCGACAUCUCCACUCCUUCAAAUGCAAUGGUGGAUAUGACUGAAGGAGCUGGACUAUCGAACAUGAAAGCCACCGCACUCGACGUUCUUGUUAGACCUCGCCUUCCUUCUAAAAUUUAUGAAUAAUAAGUAAUUAAAUUGGCUCUGAGCAGUUCUACUUCUAACUAAUAUGCUUCAUAAAAGUUGUACACACAAAUUUCUACUUGAAAUUAUGAUACAAAUAUAAAUAUUUGAUGUGGGUGAUAAUUUUUUCAUUUCGUCUUUAAAAGUCACGAAUUCAGACUUAAUUUUGAUAUGAUCUUCACGAGUUGAAGUUAUGAAUUCAGAUUUAGUCUUGAUCUUCAUGAGUUGAACUAACUUUGGUGGUGUUUGAUCUUGAUGAAUUAUGAGACAAAUAUAAAUAUUUAAAGUGAGUGAUAUUUUUUGAAAAUAUAAAUUUUUGAUUAUGAACUCCAUCGCUUCAAGGAUUUGGGUGACUUGAUCUCGAUCACAUCUUGGUUACUUGAUUCGAACUUCAUUAUCGUUUGAUCUUUACUUCAGAAAUCUUCUACUCUCUUUUUUUUGAAAUGUUCUCAAUCUUCGAAUGUCUCUCAAUCUUCAAAUGCUUCUAAAUAAAUUAAAAUGGCAAAUGCUAAGUGAGAGACUUUGAUGAGAACGUAGUCUCUUCGAAUGCUUCCAAAUAAAUUAUAAUGAUUUAUUGAAAGUUUUUUGAUUGGCUGAACUUUGAGUUUUUGAAUUUUGAUUGGCCGAAGUAAGUUAUUAGCUCUAAAUUAUCUUAAUUUAGUUAGAGAUAAAUUAAAUAAUUAAAUUUGAUUUUAUCUCUAAAUUAACAUAAUUAUUAGAGAUAAAUUAAAUGAUCAAUAAUUAAAUUUUGAUUGGUCAAAAAAAUGAAUAUUAUCUCUAAAUUACUUUGAUUUAUUUAAAGACAAAUUGGAUAAUCAACAACUAAAUUUUGAUUGGUCUAAUUUAAAUAUUAUCUUAAGAGAUAAAUAUAUGACACAUAAGUAAAUUGAUUCAACUAUGUGUUUUUGAAAUAAUUCAACUAAUAAAUUAAUUAUUUUAUAAUUAAUUAUGUGAUUAUGACAUCAUCAAAUUCAUAUGGCAACACGUAAUUGGCACAUAAUUUUUUCUCCUUCUUUAUAAAAAUUGUUCUCUUCCCCUAAUUCGGAUGGUGGAGCAAUUUUUGAUGAAUUCUAAUAGUUUUUUCCCCCAAGUUUUCAUAACAUAAUGUGAAAUAAGUAAAUUAAAAAUGAUAUAAUAUUUUAAAAAAAUUUAAUUUUUUUAUUUUUUAUUAAAUUCAAUCAAUGUCAAUAUUAAUAAAAACAAAUACUCAAAAUAUUAUUUAUUAUUUUUAUUUCAUAUCAAUUAAUAUAACGUAUUAACAUAUUAUAAUAAAUCAUAAUAUUUUAAUUUAAAUAUUAAUGUGAAAAAUGGGACGCUCAUUAUAAUAUGUUAAACAUGUUAAUUAUAAUAUGGCAAACUAUAAGCAGUCAAAAGAGCCAAGGGCGGCCCAAUAAGCUUAAAGGUCUAAAGCGAUUAUCAUAUAUUUUUUAAAUGACUAAUAUAAAUCAUUAAUCAAAAAAUUUAAUUUAAAUAAAUAAAUUAUUACAUAAAAUAAAGAUAAUAUAAUAAUAUCAUAUAAAUUUUAAAUUAAAAUAAAAAAAUCAGUAAAUAUUAGAACAAUAGUACUUAAUUGUUGAAUAUUUAUUACAAAACAUAAAUAAAGCUUAUGGUUUUAUAAAGAUAAUAACAUAACAGACUUCUUAUUUAUUCUUUAAAGGAAAAUUGAUGUUAACAAGAAAAAGGAAGAAAAAGCAUAUGAGAAAAGAAUAAUUCCAAAGUAGAUAUUAUAUAUUGAAAAAAUAUUUGAUUUUAUAUAAAAGAAAAAAAAUAGUUGUUGAAAUUUAUUGAAUAUGUUAAUUGAAAAUAGGAGAAAUAAGUAAAAAAAAAAGUUGUUAGAAAUGAUUAAAUAUAUAUGACUGUUAGUUGAUUGGAAAUAAGAGAAGUAAUUGAGAAUUAAUAGCAUUCUAUAAAUUAAAAACUAAUAAAAAAUUAAAAUUUGUUAAGCACAUAAUUAGAAAAGUGAGAAAAUAGAUAAUUUUAUUAAUUAUUAAUUAUUUUUAUAUACUUUUAAAUUUUUAUAUAUUUUUAAUAUAAUUAAUUAUUUUAUAAAAUUAUAAAAUUUUCUCAAAUUUGGGACCUCUCUAAAUUGAGGGCCUAAAGCCCUUGCUUGGGUAGCUUUACCCAAGGACCGACCUUGAAAAGAGCUUAACAUCAUGAAGAAGAAAGACGAAGAAAAGAAAAAAGUAUUUAAGAGAUCGCUGAUUAAAGUAUGUUUAGAAUUAUAUUUUCAUAAUUUGAAUAUAAAAACUUUAAAUUAUUCGUAUUUCUUUAACUUUUAUUUAAACCUGAUACUCUUUCAAUAAUUUUAAUAAUUUUAAUAAUUUAAUUUUGAGUUACCGAAAUUUCAUAUUUUGAUAAUGUAUUUAAUCAUUUCUUUAAAAAUUUUUAUAGUAUAAAACGAGAUGUUUAAUUUGAUGCUAAUGGCUUGGUUAAGGACACCUCCAAGCCAUCGUAAAGGAAUCACUACGUUUGUAUCCUGCUGGACCACUCUCAGGUGCACGCGAAUUCACUGAAGACUGCACAAUAGGUGGUUACCAUGUGCCCAAAGGCACCCGGCUGAUAGUAAACCUUUGGAAAAUCCAAACAGCACCGCAAUUUUGGUGCGAUCCAUUAGAGUUCAAGCCUGAGAGAUUUAUGACCGGCCACUUGGACGUUGAUGUUAAGGGUCUGCAUUUUGAGCUCAUACCAUUUGGUGCUUGUAGAAGACUGUGCCCGGGGAUAAAUUUUGGCCCGCAAACGACACAUCUGGUGCUGGCCCUCUUGCUCCAUGCUUUCGACAUCUGGACUCCAUCAAAUGAGCCUGUGGACAUGACUGGCAGUCCAGGACUAACAAACAUCAAAGCCACCCCUCUUGAAGUUCUUGUCAAACCACGCUCGUCUCCUAAUCUCUAUCCGUAAUCAUCUUGAUGUGUGAUCCACAGCUACAGCUAUAGCUUUCAUUUCAUUUCAGUAUGAAAUGAGAUAUUUAAUUUGGCAUCAAUAGCUUGGUUAGAGAUUUUUUAUGUUAAGAGAAUUAAAGUCUCAAAAUAAGUUUAUUAAUAUUAAAAAUCUAAAAAUUUAUAUAUUUUUAUAAUGAUUUUUAAAUUUUUAACUUUUAAAAAUUGAAAAUUUUAUGUUUUUUUUAAUCGAAACAAAUUUUAACAUUGUAGUAUGAUAUGUAUACUUCAAUUUGGUCUUGUGAGUAAUAAGGAGGGAAGGAAUAUGGAGCAGGGACUAUUAAGAAAGGAGCAGUGUCAGAUUGGCUGCGGUGUCCCGCGACCCCAGGGUCGCAGAUCCACAUGCAACUCUUCCCUUGGCCCUAUAUUCAUUUUAAAAUUUUGCACUGUUUUUUUCCUCAUGCGCACUUAGUCCAAUAGAUUCAAAAUAGUGAUUUUUUGGGUUAAGAGUUAUAAGUGAUCGAAAUAAGUCAAAUGAUCAUAAAAAUUUAAAAUUUCAAAAUUUAUAAAAAUUUAUUUUUAAUUAUUUUAAAAAUUAUUCUUGACUUAUAUUCAACCUAUUUUGCUAGAAAUUUUAAAAAAUUAAGCAAUUUAAAUUUUAGUAAAUUUUUAUAUAAUAAAUAUUUAUUUGAUAAAUUAUUUUCAAAUUAGCAUAUUUUGAAAAACUUUAUUAAAAAUAUUCAAAUUAAAUUUUAAUUUGUAUUUAAAGCAGAUUCAUCCAACCUCAUAUUGUUAUUGAUUUUGUACUAUAAUCUAUGUGUUUCUAAAUUCUGAAUGUUUUAUAUAUUUAUAAAUUAUUAAAAAAAUUAAAUUGAUUUUCGAUCAGCGAAAGAGGUGGUACACUUUAAAUGUCUUAGAAUGACUAGUAGAGAGCCAUAAUUCCUUUUGAUAAGUUAGCAAUGUUGGUUUCUAAUUCUGAGGAUUUUGAAUUAAUAGGCAUCAAGAGAUUUUUGAUUCUUUAUCCUUUGGAUUCGGUUUAGCGAAUCAGGUAAGUGACUAAUAUCUCUUAAGUGUUUUCAUACCCUAAAAGUUAGCCUCAAUGUGAAUUUGUGCAUGAGAUAUGAUAUUUUAUCUUAUGAUUUAUUAAAAUUGAAUUGAGCAUGUAAAAUGUAUAUGUAUAUGAGUUUUAUAUGUUGGAUUUAGAAUGUGGUUUAUGCAAAGUGUGAUUUCUGAUUUUGAAAUUUGUAUAUGACUUUGUAUAAUGUAUGAAUAUAUGUUUUUCGUGAAUAUAACAUAAAUAUUUAGCUUGAAACAAAUAUACUUUUGAUGUGUAUGAGAUAUGCUUGACAAAAUUGAUAUACAGUUUUAUAAAAUUUGGGUAAUCUAAAAAUAUAUGUUUCUGUUUUGUCUCCUAAUAUGGCUAUGCUCUGACCCUGUUAAUGGAGGUUAAAUGUUGGCCAUGUUGACAUGUAUUUUGUGAUUAAAGAUCGAUCUCCCAAUCGCACCACCGGUUACAUAAUAGUGGUAUUUGUAAUAUCUGUUCAGUACAACCAAUAGUUGCUUUUGAUAUAUUUUUGACCGGUGCCACCGAGGUUAAUUGUGAUUUUAUUUCUGAUCUAUGCCACAGGGAUUAAAUGUGAUCGUAGCAUGUUACAAAAGGCUACUAAAAUUUAAAUAUCUGUAAACCAUGUUUGUUUUGUUAUCUGAAAGUAGAAAUAUUGAAAUAUAUGAUUUUGAAUGAGAUUAUCCAAAAUUUUAUUUUGAUACUUAUAUAUGUAUUAAUAAUUUUGCUCUAAAUGUUUUAAGUAUGCUUAAUCUGACUGAAAAGAUGUUAGUUACUAACUGAGUAGUUAUACUCAUUCUUAUAAUCCUUAUCAUUUUUACAGAUUUCAACACGUAUUCAUGCGUGGGGAUUAGAUUUGUUAGAUGAGAGCUUUUGUUAGCAAGAUUAGUACAUGUCUUUUGACAUUUAUAAGUUUUGAUGUAAGUUUUUGGUUUUUAGUUUGUAAAGAGAUGAUAACUAGUUGUGAAAUUUGUACCUUUUGGAAGAUUAUAUAUAUUGUAUUAUUUGAAGAUUUGAGGUUUAGUAAAGUCUAAAAAUUUAAAGAGAUUUUGGAGUAAUUGUAUUUAGUUUAGUAAGAUGUGGUUGCCUUACAUGCUUAUGAGAUUCAUCUCAUGAGUAUGUGGUGUCUGUUAGUUUCAAAAACUUUGGGUAUCGGGCGUGACAAAAAUACUAUGAAAAUUUGGAAAACGAUAUCUGGCGUGGAGGCAACAUAAUUUAUUGAUUAUCAAUAGUUUUAUGUAGCUCCUUAAUCUUUAACUAAUGAUCAUGAGAAUUCUAAAUCUGGUUUUUUUAUUAUUUAGUAGCUAAAUCUGGACCGCAUAAUUAAAUGAGUUAAAUAUAAACAUUUUUUAUAUGACAAAUUUGUUGGGCCGAGGCCAAGCAGAAAGAGAUAAACCUCAUCGGAAUCAACUAUAUUUGACCUGAAAGCCAAUACGCAAGAGACUAGAAAAUUUGCUUCCAUGGAUUUCCUUCUGGCUGACAGAAGCACCUGUGUAUUUGGUCUAGUAGCCAUUCUAUUCUUUUCUUACUAUCUGUUUCUUAGGUCAAGAAUUGCCAAGAGCAAAAAUUAUGCGCCCAUAGCUAGAGGGGCAAUGCCCAUAAUUGGCCACCUUCCAUUGUUGAGAGGACCAAAGCUUCCUCAUUUAACACUUGGAGACAUGGCUGAAAAAUAUGGUCCUAUCUAUGCCAUCCGGUUAGGGGUGCAUCCAGCUUUGGUGGUGAGUUCUUGGGAGAUUCUUAAGGAAAUAUUCACAAACCAUGAUGUGGCUGUCGCCUCCCGCCUCAAAGUGACGUCUGCAAAACACAUGGGCUACGACUAUGCCAUGUUUGGGUUCUCACCCUACGGUCCAUACUGGCGUGAAAUGCGCAAAAUAGUCAAUUUAGAGCUACUCUCAAACCAUAAACUCGAGCUACUCAAGCACGUUCGAGUCUCUGAAGUGGAGACAUCAUUGAAAGAGCUCUACAAACUGUGGGCUGAAAAAAAGGAUUCUUCAAACCAUGCUUUAGUUGAAAUGAAACAAUGGUUUGGAGACUUGGCAUUGAAUGUGAUCUUUAGGAUGGUUGCCGGGAAGAGGUAUUUUGGAACUGGUUUAAAGGGUCAUGACAAGGAGGCCAGGCGGUGUCAAAGGGCGCUGAGGGAAUGGUUUCAUUUGUUAGGGGUAUUUGUGUUAAAGGAUGCUGUUCCUUUACUUGGGUUUUUGGAUUUGGGUGGGCAAGAAAAGGCCAUGAAGGAGACUGCCAAAGAAAUGGAUAGUAUUGCUAGUGAAUGGUUAAAGGAACAUAAGCAGAAGAGAGCCUUGGGGGAGGUUAAAGAGAAAGACUUCAUGGAUGUUUUGCUUUCUCUCGUCGAAGCUGAAAGUACUAAUCCAAACCUCUCAGGUUGGAAUGUGGAUACUAUCACCAAAACAACCUGCUUGGUUUGUAUUCUAUCCUUAUCCCUAAAUUAGGUCUUCUUUUUGCUUUUUUCUCUAACUGGUAUUGUGCGGUUGACUGUUUGCAAAGAAAUACUUAUGAUGUUUAAUCAAUUGGGAUAAUUAUAUAGUAAUGGCAUGGGAGGUAGAGAAAGUGGUUUUAUUAAGAUGAAAUUACUUCUUUUUCAUUUAUUUUUGGUGAGUUAUGCCAUGAAAAUAGCUUCUUCUUCUUCUUGUCCUUUUUCUCUUUUCCUCUUCUUGUUUCAAUAUAACUUAGUAAAUAAGAAAAAGACUGCUCAGUAUCAACUUGUUACUACCAUUGAACCAUUUUAUCUGAAGAAGGCACUUGCACGUGCAGAGUUGCAUCAAGUUCCUGCCUAUGUCUUAUUUUUUCGGCUCAAUGAUCUCACCAGGCCUCUGGUCAUCACAUUGAGCAACGGUCCCGGUAGGAGGGCUUGAAAUUGAGGCCCUUGGAAACUUAACUUUGCAUGUACAGGCUCAGUAGCCCAAAAUAACUCUGGGUCUUCGCCUCUUUGGUGUGACAUAGAAUUGAUUGGUCUGAAAUGAUUUUGCUUUGCAGAAUUUGAUUGGAGGAGGCAGUGACACCACCAAGGUCACCUUAAUAUUGGCACUUUCACUAUUGUUAAACAACCGCCAUUGCUUGAAAAAGGUACAAGAAGAGCUAGACAUCCAUGUAGGCAAAGAAAGGCUAGUAAAUGAUUCAGAUCUUAGCAACUUGAUAUAUCUCCAAGCUGUAGUGAAGGAGACAUUACGCCUGUACCCUCCUGCCCUUCUUUUCCCACGCCUCUGCACUCAGGACAUCACCCUAAAUGGUUACCAUGUCUCUAAAGGCACUUGGAUUUUCUUGAAUCUUUGGAAGAUUCAAGCCGACCCCCGCGUCUGGUCUGAUCCAUACGAAUUCAAGCCAGAGAGAUUUUUAUCAAGCCAUAAGGAAGUUGAUGUGAGGGGACGGCACUUCGAAAUGAUCCCAUUUGGUUGUGGCAGAAGGGUGUGCCCUGGAAUUUCUUUUGGUCUCCAAGUGUUGAACUUGACAUUGGCUGGUUUAUUACAUGGAUUCGACAUCUCCACCCCAUCAAAUGCAAGGGUUGAUAUGACAGAGAGUCCUGGUCUGACGAGCAUCAAAGCCACCCCUCUUGAAGUUCUCAUCACCCCUCGUCUUUCUCCUAACAGUUAUGGAUGAUUCAGUCAUGCAAUAUAAACACAGAGAGAGAGAGAGAAAGAGACAGAGACAGAGAAGGAAUGCAUUUUUACUUGUGUUUCUUUUAUUAUAUCUAUGCAGCUGUCAUGCUUUGGACUUUGGAAGGAGGGUACAUCAUCAAAAGUUUUCAUUGCAAAACUGUUUCUAACAAUAAAGAGUCCAUCUUUCUAUCGAGAAAAUAUUGCUGCAUAUUAGUAAUAGAAAUUGAAUGACAAAAUUGCUAAAAUUAAUUUCCAAUUUAAAAGAACUUAAGGGUAACUAAAACACUAUAGUGGUUUAAUUAAAUUUCUUUAAUUGCUUUUAUAUUAUUAGCAUAUAGAACGAAAAUAGUUGGCACCAUAUUUGAUGUCAAUAUAUAUUUGUUUGAUUGAUUGAGAAAAAAAAUCCAUGUAUAAUAAUGCUUAAUUAGAUAAAAUUUAAAGAGAAUCAAAUGAAUAAUGAGGUUUUAACCUAAAAGGAUUGACAAUUUAAUCAUAUUAAUUAUAAGAUUUACAAAAGGGGGCCAAAUCGAAAAGUCUUGGGGGACCAAACUAGAACUUUAUCUUUUUCUUACAUAAGAAAAAUUACCAAAUAUAUUAUUAUGUAUGACUAUUAAUUUAUUUUUUAUAAUUGAGAAAGUAACAAAAAAUUAAGUAUUUGGGCAUAUAUUCCACACCAUACACUUAAAACAUUUCUGUGGCUGAAAUUAAGACUAUCAAUAAAUGAAUUGCGGUUCACAAUAUCUAUUUAAUACUAUUAAUUUAUGGGUUAUAAUUGAGAAAGGAAAAAAAGUAACUAGUUGGGCAAUAGUUGUACACACCAUCCACCCCAAAACAUUUUUAUGACUGAAAUUAAGAUUAUCAAUAAUAAAUAUUUUUUUCUUAGCAAUGAAUAAAUUCAAAUGAUUAUUGACCAUGGAAUUAUAAAAAUAAAUUGAUUUUGUGCAUAUUUUUUGUAAAGUCGAUGCUUUUACAAAUUCACUUGUCUACAUUGAAUUGAAUUGAAAUGUUUUUUACAUGAUGGUAGGAUGAGAAGAUUAUAUGAAUGUCGUGUUCAAUUUAUAAUUAUAAAUUAAUAGACAUGAGAUUUAAUCACUACCCAUAAGUUCUCUUCCAAAAAAAAUCCCAAGUCUAGCUUAAACUACUUCAAGUUGAUAGUAAUAAAGAACCUGAUAUGUGUGACGUUGCUUGGAAAUUUGCUGCCUAAAAUUUAUAUGUAUCGUGCUGCUUAGAAAGACCUUCAGAUGCAUCAAGUUGCUUGGAAAUUAUUGAGGUGCCUAACCUAAAGUUCUAUCCGGUCAAGGCAAGUUAAUUAAUGGUUGCCCGAGGUGCCACGUCGGGUCUGGAGAUAGAAGAACGUGAUACACGACGAGCCUUCAGGAUCCAAUAAUAUAAAGACAUUGAAUCUAGCUCAAUGGAAGUAGAUAAAUAUCAAUGUCAUUAGCAAAUGCUAGCCACAUAUCUCUAGAUACCACACCCAUCUAUACAGACUAAUCAUUUGCUUCUCAAUGGCUUCUCUUCUGCCUCAUCUGAGCACUUUUGUGGCUGGACUAGCAGCGAUUCUUGUCCUUUUCUUCUAUCUCUUUCGGUCGAGAGUUACUCUUAGCAAAACAAGGGCACCCCAAGCUGCAGGUGCAUGGCCCGUAAUUGGCCACUUACGAUUGUUAGGAGGACCGCAGCUUCCUCACGUAACAUUGGGAGCCUUGGCCGAAAAAUAUGGUCCUGUCUACUCCAUUCGGAUAGGGAUUCACCCAGGAUUGGUGGUGAGUAGUUGGGAGAUAGCCAAAGAGAUAUACACCAAUUACGAUGUGGCUGUCACCAAUCGUCCAAGAAUGAUAGCCGCAGAGCACUUGGGUUUCAACUAUGCCAUGGCUGGGGUCGCACCCUAUGGUUCAUACUGGCGUGAAAUGCGUAAAAUAAUCAACUUCGCUCUGCUCUCUAACCGUAGACUCGAAAUACUCAAGCAGGUUCGAGUAUCCGAAGCACAAGUCUCAGUAAAAGAGCUAUACAAAACUUGGUCCGAAAGAAACAAUGGCUCAGGCCAUGUUUUAAUUGAAAUGAAGCAAUGGUUUGGGGACUUGACCUUGAAUGUGAUAGUUAGGAUGGUUGCUGGCAAGAGGUACUUCGGUUCGGGUGCAAAGGGUGAUGACAAAGAGGCCAGACGGUGCCAAAGGGCGAUGAGGGAAUGGUUUCAUUUGUUAGGGGUAUUUGCCUUAAAGGAUGCUGUUCCUUUUCUUGGGUUUCUGGAUUUGGGUGGGCAUGAAAAGGCCAUGAAGGAGACAGCUAAGGAAUUGGAUAGUAUUGCUAGUGAAUGGUUGAAGGAGCAUAAGCAGAAGAGGGCCUCGGGUGAGGCCGAAGAUCAAGACUUCAUGGAUGUUUUGCUUUCUCUCCUCGAGGGUACAAACCUUGCAUCAGAAUUCGAUGUUGACACAAUUAACAAAGCCAACUGUUUGGUAUGCACUUUUCUUCCUUUCUUUUUUGUGUAAGAGCAUUCGGCCCCAAUACAUAGACCCAAAUUAAUUGCAACCUAUAAUCCUUUCCAUUCCCUACACAUACUCUCAAGAAAAAAC
rnacentral:lncRNA from 1 species